CUGGCUCUGCUCCCUCUUGAUGCAGGUGGCUUUCUUCUAACAGCAAUAAAUUCCCCACAUGGUCAGGAGCCUGCAGCAUUCCUGGUGCUUUUUAGUUUCCUUUUUUUCUAAUCUCUGCCCAAUCCUUCUUUGUCCGUUUGUCCUUCUCACAUGGAGGGGUCCAGACGGGGGACAGUUGGUGUCUUCCAACCAAGGUGUCUCUGCCAAGCCCCACGCAGACAAUUCAGCAGCAGUGUGGUGAGACUGUGCAAGCUGUGGGUUCAGAAUGGGGGAUCUCACAGGAGCCUUUUUGCUCACGGAAUUCCAGGUGGCAGGCAGCACACAGCCCCCGCCUGGAGCAUCCUUCCUGCCCCUCGUCACUCCUGGCUCCAUGAAACUGCUGCAACAGGAGAAAUGACAGCCUGGAAAGUGCUGAAGAGAAAUCUGAGUGACCUGGGGUGAAGUUCCCAGGUCUGGCCACGCCGUUUGCUCAUUACUGCCUUCCCAGAACUCCAAGGUCCAACCUCAACCAUCAGUAUUUUGUGUUUCCAAGGCAACCCCGGCUUUAACAGCCUUCAUAAUGACAUCAUUUGGUUGAAAUGAGCAUGCAUGAUCUUUUGAUUACCACUGGAAAUAUAAAUUAGGUUACUCUCCCCAUCCCCAGCCACUUGAAAAAUAAAUGCAUUGGAGGGAGGGGGAAGGAAAAAAAAAACCUCAGAAGAGGGUAAAUGGAAAAAUCAAUUUUUACAUUAAUGGAGUCCUCGUUCAGCAUUUCUUCUCUUUAUAGAUUUAGAUAACAGUGAUAUCUUAGUUUCACAGAGCAAAGAAAUUAAUUACUUACUAAUGGUGCAAUUCAGAAAUUAAUUUAUGUUGUCCAUUUAAAUGUGUCAUUAUUAAUCAAUUUAAAGGAAGAGGCCUGUAAGCUAGCACCAUCUGAAUUGACUUAUGUUGCCAGAGGAGUCUCCCUGCCCCUUCCUUUCUAGAAAACACAUAAUUCCUGCCACCUGUGAGUUGUGUACCUCGAGCUGCUCUGGCGUCCCUGAUAGAACAAAAAAUAAGAAUUUCCUCAGGCCUGAUAGACAGGUGCAUCCUUGAUGUGUUUCCCUAGGUAUGGGGCACUGACAGGGUGCUGCAAAAAAAUUUUAAGGCUGUUUUUUGAUUUUUUUUGGGUGUAUUUAUUUGGAUUCCUGGCCUGGAAUUCAGAUUUCAUGCUGAAAAGGCAAAGCAGAGAAAGAGGAUGCUGUCUCCAGAGGAUGGGGAUGUUUUCGUCCUAGCAGGUCUUGGCCAGUUCCUGGGGUUUUAGCACACCAUGGGCACCCCAAAAGGGUCAGGGUGGGGCAGCUUCCCGAGGACGGUGAUAAUUAAAUUGUCACAGCCCUGAUUAUCUCCUUUUUACUGCUUUAUUUCAAUGGGAAGAAGUAAUAAAUGGCACAAGUAUUUUCUUUUUCUGAGUAAGGCUUGUCCUAGGCUGGAAAGGGAGGUCCUGGAGCAUGGAUAAACUAAAAAGCACUCCUUAAAGGUGUGAAGAUUUCAGAAUGGCAGCAUCUAACACUGCCUUGUUCAGUUAAAAUAAUUUCCUUUUUCCUGUCACUUGCAAACAGUCUCCCUCCAUCCUUCUUGUGGACUCCCUUUGUAAUAUCACUGCGAUUUUGGUGGUAUCCCAGUGUAAAACAGAGGGAUGUGGAGGUCUGGAAUUGAAGAGCCUACUCUGUAUCUGUAUUUAUGGGCAUUUCUUUCCUCUUUCCCCCCUCCCCUGGAAGCCAGGCUCACGUUUAACAUCUGCUGCAGCAAUAAUGCUUCUUUAUUAGGCUUGGUGAAGUUUAGACAUGUGCCCAUGAUGGAGCAGAGCCUUUAUCUGGCUUAAAGGGUUUCAGAUUAGUUUCAUGUUCUUCCUCAGUGUUUUGUUUUUCAAGCCAAUUGCUGCCCUGCUGCCCACACCAGGCACAUUCCAGCCUGGAAGUUCUUUAUUGAGCUGAAAUCCUUUCCCAGCGAAAACAGCAAACAGAGAGUGAGCAGCAGGCUGCAGAAUUAAUCAAGAAACCAUUUAGCACCUGCAAAUAAAUACUUGUGUCUGAAGAUUUUGAGGUUUUUCUGUCAAACCUUUAUUCAGGGCUAAGCAAAAAGGAAAACAAAAAGCUAUUAAAAAAUGUUUGUAUAUAUAGCAUCCAAAUCUUUUUGCGUUCUCCAGUGUAGGAAUUGAGAAGGAAAUAUAAACCCAAGUUAAAAUCCUUGACUUGUUUAAUGCUAGUUAUCUCCACCCAAUUUUCAGAAUCCUUGUGCUUUUUUAGGUUGAGAGAAAAGCAGUCUGGGGCAUUGGCAGCCUGAUUUUUAUUAAUUUCCCUCCUCCUUCCUUCUCUCCUUGUUCAAUAACCUCAGAAUCCAUCUUCUGUGGCGUUUUUUGGUGCCCUGGCCUUGCAUGGAGUCAUGCCACGAGCUUUUAUUCAUCUGCGGACAGCAGCCCCUUAAAAGUGAGCUCGAGGUCCUUGAAUUAUAUUCGAGCUGUUGAAUAUAAUUUUGGAUUUCCCUCACUCUGGAGUUUUUGGAGAACUGGAUUUGGUGCCACCCCUGGCAUGGGAACAUGGGCCCUUUUUAACCAUAAAACCUUGGAUUCUUAUGACUCUGCAGAUUCUUUUGUGAAACAAGCCUGAAAGGUGAGGUAGGGAUGGAAAAGGGUUUUCCCUUGGCCUCAUUCCUCUUGGUCUCUGUUGUUUUCCUUUUCCUAGAGGAUCUCACCCCAAUUUCCCUCACUUUCGUGGGAUCUGAAGCUGAAUCCCUCCCUCCUCUAGAAGAGAUCCAGAGCUCCUUGGGCCUUCUGUGUCUCUCUGGGAUCCCUUUUUCUAAAUUAUAACCAAGAGCAUCAUAUGCCCCCAGCCUUGGCAGCGGUCCCUCA